rnacentral:lncRNA from 1 species
CCAAUGCUAAAGGCUCUAUGAGGUAGGGAUGGUCUUUGUUAUGUUAGUGGGAUGCAGACCACUACAUAAGAGUCACCCAAGCACAAGCACCCAUUCUGGGACAGUCAUCAGUCACCUAGAUAGCUGUGGAGUGAGCAAGGGUGCGGAUGGACAGGCUACACAGAGAGACAAUGUGCAUCCCAAGCACACGGGGGCCCAGGCCCACAAUGACAUCAUUCUGCUCGAUCCCAAGCACACGGGGGCUCAGGCCCACAAUGACAUCAUGCUGCUCGUUUUUUUGUAGCAGAACAUGGACUAAGGAGUGGUGUAAGCAAAG